rnacentral:lncRNA from 1 species
AGGCUGGAGUGCAAUGGCGCGAUCUCAGCUCACUGCAACCUCAGCCUCCCAGGUUCAAGCGAUUCCCUUGCCUCAGCCUCCCAAGUAGCUGGGAUUACAGGCGCCCACUACCACGCCUGGCUAAUUUUUUGUAUUUUAGUAGAGACAGGGUUUCACCAUGUUGGCCAGGAUGGUCUUGAUCUCCUGACCUCAUGAUCCACCCGCCUUGGCCUCCCAAAGUGCUGGGAUUACAGGCUUGAGCCACUGCUCCCGGCCUGAA